GCAAGUCGAGCGCGAACGUGGCUUCGGCCACUAGUAGAGCGGCACAAGGGUGAGUAACACAUGGACAACUUGCCCUCGAGACUGGAAUAACGGCGGGAAACUGCCGCUAAUGCCGGAUGGCCCUGCGACACGGCAUCGUGUUGUAGGUAAAGGUGGGGAUCCUUCGGGACCUGCCACUCGGGGAGAGGUUCAUGCACUAUCAGCUUGUUGGUGAGGUAACGGCUCACCAAGGCGACGACGGUUAGGCGACCUGAGAGGGUGACC
rnacentral:rRNA from 1 species